CCUCCCCUUCCCCCUCUACCCUCUUCCUCCACCUUCUUCUCCUAAUUUCACUUUAUUGGUUAGUUUAACUUUUCUUCCCCUCAUCACUUGAAGAGCUAAUCCUUGGGACGCGCUCACCCCACACCCCAACAGAACAGAGUCAGCAUUCAAUGAAUGAAUGUUAGAUAUUUAUUACUGACUCCACCCUCUGCACACAACCUACAUUUUCUUAUCUGACUGAAAUGUAACAAGCCAGGCUUUCUCUCAUUCCCCUUCCGUGUUGGUUCUUUCAAAGGAAGCCUGCUCCGUGUCUGGGUCUGACUCCUUUGCUCAGCUGCUCACUAGGAACCUAGCUGAAACUUUGUGACCUCAGGAUGAGCCCUAGAACAAUGAAGUAAAGCAAAAUUGAUAUUCCAGAGUGGAUGGCGGCCUCCAAGAGAUGGAGACCAUUGCAACCCAGGCUAGCAUUGAACUCAUAAUCCUGGUUUUGUUUCAGCCUCCUGAGAAGUUUCAAGUGUAAGAGCAUGCCAUUUUUGGUAACUUUUCCUGUUUAUAUUUAUAGUUUCUGCUAUAGAAAUAAUUACAUUUAAUUUACAACCUUAUAAGAGCACUUGGUGCAUUUCUGAGUUCAAGGCCAGCCUGGACGACAGAAUGAGUUCCAGGAAAGCCAGGACUACACAGGGAAACUCAAAAAUCUAACUAACUAAUAAAUCCCUUUAAGAUGUCUCACAGUUCAGACUGAAAAUGAUAUACACAGCACUAGGUAAAAAUAUGCAUUUCUCUUUCUUUGAAGUGCUGGAGGUAGAACCUAGGGCUUGGAGCAAAUGAAGCAAGUAUACUACCACUGAACCACUUCAGCCCUAGACGAAGGUUUUACACUCAGUGGUGAUGACUGCAUUACUUGAGUAAUCAUGAAAGACUUUUCUUGGUUGAAAAAUGAACUAUAUCUGGAUGGUAAAUGUCUCCUUGAAGCUUGAGUGUUGAAGGCUGCACCCCCCAGUAGGCAUCAGUGUUGAGAGGCAGGAACCUAGGAGAGAGAGAAGAGAGCACAGUACCUUCCAAGUCAGAGAAGAGUGGAAGUGAAAGCCCGGAGGAGAUGAAGACAAAGGCGUGUGCAGGAAUGUGGAAGAUCUAUGUGUCUGGAUGGUGGAGAGCUUUUCCACAAUGUGAUUUACUGCCGGAGGAUGAGAUGCUUUGUACAGACGCAGAGGCAGCAAGGUGCAAAUGACCACGGCCUGAAACCUCUGACAGCAUGAGCUAAAUUCGAUUAUCUUCUAAAUACCACAAACUUUUCAAAUGAAAAGUCUAGGGAUUCAGCGAUGCCUCAGUCCUUACGAUCAUGUGUUGCGUGGCUUUUGCAGAGGACCUAGGUACAGUCUCCAGCACGUACAUGCAGUACCAGCAGAUGUGACACUCUCUUCUGACCAGGCAUGCAUGUGGUACAUAGACAUACAUGCAGGCAAGCCACUUAAUAUGUAUACGUAUAUGUAUAUGUAGAUAUAUAGAAAUGCAUCUAAAAGAAAAAGGGAAAAACUAUAGGGAAAUCGCAUAUUUAACCACCCAAGUUAAUUGGAGCAUGAUUCAAAUGCUCAGUUCAAUGAUGAUAUAUGUGCACUACUGAAAUCCAAAUAAAAAUAAACAUGCCAUUGGCUUGCA